UGGCGCGGCUCGGGGAGCAGGCGGUGAUGGCGGGCGGGCUGAACGCGAAGGUGGCCUGCAGCAGGAACCUUGAGCGGCGGCUGGCACCGCAGGGCGGGCUCACCCGGGGCAGCAAGCAAAGGUAGCAGAAACUCCACAGAUGUAGCAGUUGGUGAAGGGUCCUGUGUUUGGUGAGGUAGGGUGUUAAUAAGGUCCCAGUGCAAUGGCUGCUCUUACGAGCAGAUCUCCACUCACAGUGGAAGGCAGCAGGAGCAGAACCCUCAGUAGUGGUGAAUUCUUCCCACAGCGACUAUGGCCUCUUUCCCUUCCAAAUGCUGAGUGAGCCAGAAGGAGCUAGCACCUGCCCCAGCCCCAUUUUCCCCAGUCCAACUCCUGCAGUAUCUCCGCCCUCUGAGAGAAGCCCUCAGAUAAGAGGAGUGCAGCUAAGUGCCCUCCUCCCCGGACCUUGGCAACUUCUUUUGUCUCUCUGAAGUACCUGGGCCUUACUGUCUCCUGGCAACACAUACGGGAGAAAAUUCCCCGAGAGAAAGAAACUAAAGGAAGAGUCCUAAACCCCAACACCUCUUCAAAUACAUCUUCAGUUUUAUAUGAAACUCACGAUUCUCAAGUCCAGUGGAACACAGGAUCCAAAGGGCUGGAGAGAUCACAUUGAAAUUAACUUUUUGUGAGGCAGACUCGCAGCCAUGAGUCCAGAUAAUACUAGUCUGGCAUGGGUCACAAGUUGGGCUUUGAGAUUGGUUUUCCUUGCCCCUGGAGGUAAUGAGCUCCUGAAGAGCAAUUACAGUACGAGUAGCAGCAGUGUCCCAUCUGCACCCUUCCAGUGAAAUAUCCAGUCUUUUUUGUCUUGGAGGAAGAUGGCCUUUUGGAUGACAGAAAUUGUCAAUAGCUCCAUAUCAGGGAGCAGCAAGAGCAGGCUGCCCAGCAACGACAGGGAAGUCAGAAGCUGAGCAUAAUAACAAGGCUGGCAGAGGUCUCACUGCCAGAGGUCUCACAGCACCAAAACAAGGUAAGCAGAGAAGCUCUAGUAAGGGUAACCAGGGUAACAAGGUUCAACUAAGGAUCCUAGUCUCUAAUCAAGUUCUUGAUGAUGAAGCAGUUCCAAGGUCAGUCUGGGGAGGUGAUCAGGUCCAAACGCAUUGUCCUGGAUCAGACACAGGUCAAUGCCUCCAUGGUCAAGCCAGGAAGUCAGACCAUGGGUCAGAGUUAAGGUUUGGCUUAAUGGGGUAGCUCUCUAGGCAUAGACAUAGGCAUGACUUCUGCCCGGCUCCAGGGUAACCUAGGCAGGAACCAACAGUGAGAAACUCAGCAGAGAGCCUUGCUGAAACUCGUUAGAAGUCUUUUGGGGAGUCCUUUGACAGAGACUCCUUCCAUCUGUUUCCUCAUACUGUGUAACCAGCAAGCUUGCCUUGACUACAGAAAGAUGAAUUCAAAGGGAAGGCAUGCAGUUAGGAUGCUAAUAGUUUGAUUUUUAUGAGACACUGCAAUUCAUCUUGAAAUGAAUAUGCACUUUUCUACUUAUUUUUUAAUAAAUCCCAUGUUUUAAGAUAGCA
ensembl:lncRNA